UAAUGGUCACGUUCCAAGUCCUAUGCCUGUAAAGUGAUUUGAACGCCAAUCGUCUGCACUCCGGUACUGUACCUGCACCACGAAUAUGACAUUGGUUUUCCUCUAUAUAACCAUUAUAUUUUUUAAGCUACUUACCUAUAAUGGUUUGGCAGAGAACCAUAAACCAACCAUUGAAUUAAAUUGUAAUGACGGUCAUGAACGCAUAUGUACUGGCAUCAUAGAUUGUAGAUGGACUGGCUUCUUGAAAGACGUUGUAUUUGAUUGCCCGCUUGAUAAUGACAAGUUUCAAUGUUCAGUGGAGACGGAUGAAGUAAUGAAAUACGAUGAAGAACCACAAACAGUACCAGUGGCACCGAUAUGCAAAGACAAUAGAAGCUGUGGAUUCCCUACAACAUUUGUCGGUGAAAGUGUAAGAUGCAUCAUACGUAUGAUGUUUUUGACAUAUUUUCAACAGAAAUACAGUCACCAAUAACAUCAAGAGGACCAGAAAAGAUGGAAGAUGGAAAAGGUUUGGCAGAGAACCAUAAACCAACCAUUGAAUUAAAUUGUAAUGACGGUCAUGAACGCAUAUGUACUGGCAUCAUAGAUUGUAGAUGGACUGGCUUCUUGAAAGACGUUGUAUUUGAUUGCCCGCUUGAUAAUGACAAGUUUCAAUGUUCAGUGGAGACGGAUGAAGUAAUGAAAUACGAUGAAGAACCACAAACAGUACCAGUGGCACCGAUAUGCAAAGACAAUAGAAGCUGUGGAUUCCCUACAACAUUUGUCGGUGAAAGUGUAAGAUGCACCAUACGUAUGAAAACACAACUACCAACAACAUCAAGAGAACCAGACAAUCUGAAGAAUGAAACAGGUAAUUUAUUGUUUACAUUUUGUAUUAGAUUUUAUCACAAUGACAAUAUCUCAGUUCCCCAGAAGAAGAAAAAGCAUUGGGUUAGAAGAUGUGGAUCUAUUAAUACCUGAUGUACAGAGAUACAUUGCAAAAUGAAGGGUCUACUGGACAGAGGUUGAUCUACAGCAGUGGUUCCCAAACGUUUUAUAGUCCCGUACCCCUUCAAACAUUCAACCUCCAGCUGCGUACCCCCUCUAGCACCAGGGUCAGCGUACUCUCAAAUGUUGUUUUUUUGCCAUCAUUGUAAGCCGGCUCGUGGGAAGUGACAGAGAGCUGUUAUAGGACCAGAGCACAAAUAAUAAUAAUCAAUCAUUUUGCUCUUUAUUUCGCCAUCUUAUAUAUAAAAUCUUAUUUGUUCAUCAAAAAUCGUGAAUAACUCACCACAGGUUAAUGAGAAGUGUGUGCUUGAAAGGAUGCACAUAACUCUGCAAUGUUGGGUUGUAUUGGAGAGAAUCAGUCUUAAAUCAUUUUCCACGCACAGUUUGUGCCUUUAUGUCUCCCUGUCAUGGCUUUUUCUCCAUCAGUACAGAUACCAACAUGAGCAGCAGCUACAUUUGGUUAUAUAUGGACCAAUAGUGGAAUUCCCACGAGAGAGUAACGGUUCAUGUGAUUGGAUGUUAAUUAUUUGACUAGGCUACCUGUAUUCAACAUUGUGUUGUUAUUUCGCUGAACACCAGAUGGUUACAUUUUAUUUUGGGCAGUGAAACGAGGCUACUCAGGCGAGAGAGAAAAAACUCACCCAAAUGUAUAACCCCGUUGGAAAAUAUAAGGACUGUUUGAAAAUGUGAAAAAAAAGGAAAGUUUUUUAAAUAUGUAUCACAUUUUUGUUUGGAGUAACCCCGACCGUAUUGCGCGUACCCCCUUCCCAGUUUGGGAAUACCUGAUCUACAGUAUGUAUCUGCAUGGAUUCAUUUGAGUAUCAAUCGUGUAUUGUUCCUUUGGAGUUCCAUGUCAUAGUUCUCAUGUUUUUCAGAGCCAAAACACAAUAUAACCAGGUGGAUUUGGUUAAUAAUUAGCCUUGGCAUUAGCCUUGGCAUUAGCCUUGGCAUUGGCGUUGGCAUUGGUGUUGGGAUGAAUCAAUGUCAGGAGAAAAAGGAUGAAUUUGAGACACGUGAUGAGGCGCAUAUAGAAGUGGAUGGAAUGGUAUAAAAAACAAAUGAGGAGGUAUUAUUGCAGGGGUUAACCUAUGGGUCCACUAGUAUGAGCCAUCAUCAGCCAGCAGGCUAUUUUAAUACUAAUCUCAUUGGGGUAAAUUAAUCAAAUGUUUUAAAAGAUAUAUCAAAUCUGCAUGGAUUAGUGUUUGCCAUCAUGUGUGAUGCAGUGAUGAAACGCCUGAAAGAAUGCCUACAUUAACAUACAAUACCAGUCAAAAGUUUGGAGACACCUACUCAUUCCAGGGUUUUUCUUAAUCUUUUACUAUUUUCUACAUUGUAGAGUAAUAGUAAAGAAGACAUCAAAACUAUGGAAUAACACAUAUGG